GAGAAGCUUGCUUCUCUGAUGUUAGCGGCGGACCGGCGUGCAACACGCGGAUAACCCACCUCUAAAACUGGGCUUACUUCGGGAAACCGGGGCUACUACCGGGAAAUAUUUUUAAGCCCAUCGCUCAAACGCGACAGACGGUCCUGCCGUAUCUUAUAGA
rnacentral:rRNA from 1 species